rnacentral:rRNA from 1 species
GUGGGGAAUCUUGCGCAAUGGGCGAAAGCCUGACGCAGCCAUGCCGCGUGAAUGAUGAAGGUCUUAGGAUUGUAAAAUUCUUUCACCGGGGACGAUAAUGACGGUACCCGGAGAAGAAGCUCCGGCUAACUUCGUGCCAGCAGCCGCGGUAAUACGAAGGGGGCUAGCGUUGCUCGGAAUUACUGGGCGUAAAGGGCGCGUAGGCGGACAGCUUAGUCAGAGGUGAAAGCCCAGGGCUCAACCGUGGAAUUGCCUUUGAUACUGGCUGUCUUGAGUUUGGGAGAGGUGAGUGGAACUGCGAGUGUAGAGGUGAAAUGCGUUGAUAUUCGGAAGGACACCAGUGGCGAAGGCGACUCACUGGCCCAAUACUGACGCUGAGGCGCGAAAGCGUGGGGAGCAAACAGGAUUAGAUACCCCGGUAGUCC